rnacentral:rRNA from 1 species
UACGUAGGGUGCAAGCGUUGUCCGGAAUUAUUGGGCGUAAAGAGCUCGUAGGCGGUCUGUCACGUCGGCUGUGAAAACCCGAGGCUCAACCUCGGGCCUGCAGUCGAUACGGGCAAACUAGAGUGUUGCAGGGGAGACUGGAAUUCCUGGUGUAGCGGUGAAAUGCGCAGAUAUCAGGAGGAACACCGAUGGCGAAGGCAGGUCUCUGGGCCACUACUGACGCUGAGAAGCGAAAGCAUGGGGAGCGAACAGG